GUAGGUGAACCUGCGGAAGGAUCAUUAAUAAGUUUCCCACACCCCUCGUUGGGUAGGAUAGACUCCACGUAUUAGCAGUCUGGGUAGCUUCCAUCGUGGAGAGGCCGGCUGGAUUUCCCACAACGUUGUCGGUCUCAAGGGACUUGGCAGGCUUUAGUGCAGACGUUGUGGUUCUGAUUUACGGAGGCAAAUGGUAACAUUAGCCCUGGGAGGGACUUAAACCCGUGUCUACCUUCUUUGUUGCUUUGGC
rnacentral:misc_RNA from 1 species